UCUGGAAGACAUCUGCCAGGGUAAUGCAAUUGGCUUUAAGCUACAGCAAUUUCUCCUCAGUCGUCGUCUGGUUGUGAAGGUGUAGAAGGUAACAUAUGUAAUAAGGAUGUAUUCUGUAUAAGCAUAUGCAUACAGAAGGAAUUGUGUUGUGAUUAAGGUGUUAUAAAUGAGAGGCUGGGGAUGAAUUCUGCUGCCUUCACUGUUCAGACUAGCUGUCUGAUGCUGUGUCGUUUGUUUAACUUUGCUAUCACAUUUCCCCAUUUGCUAUAUGAAGCAAAUGCCUUGGGGCCUAUUAAUUGAUACUUAAAAUACAUAGUAAUGUUCUGUCCAUUUCUGCAGAUGGCUAGGUACAAACCUUUCUUUGUACCUGCUUAUAUGCAAGAUACCAUUAGGAGCAACUUUGAAAUUUUCAUCCUUCAGCAUGGAAAUGUGCCGUAGGACAGUGGAUUUAGAUUUUCCCAACAAAGACAUUGAGAAGGGGGAAGGUGUUUGAACUUUGUGUGUACUGCAGGAUAAAAAAUAGAGAUACAAAAUGGCAGAGAAACCCAUCCUAACAACUGGCAAUCAUGUUAUCCCUAGCCUAUUCAUCUGGUAUAUAUUGUAGCAUAAUUCUUUGAGGAGAAUUCAAAGCUAACAACAGAAAUGUUUAGAUUUUCAAGCUGUUUUGAGUGUUAAACAUAUUAGAUAUCUGAGGAGACAUUAGUUUGUGGCCUGAUAUUUAUUAUCACAAAUGAAGGCAUACACCCAAAAUAUCAAGUGGCAAAACCACAGAAGUUUGACAUAUGGUUAUCCCAGCUUCUGAAGGCUCGACAUCUGUGUAGCUGUUCAGUGAGAGUUACCAUCUCAUUAGUGCAAUUCAAAAAUAUGCCACAAUAAAUUUUGAGUCUCUGAAGCAGCAGAGUAUUCUAAUCUGACAUUGCUUGCUUUCUGCAGAGUUCAGUUACUUUGUGAGAAAAAAUUACAUCAGCACCCUUAAAUCUAUAGUUGUUCUCUAGUUUCAUAUCCCCUGUCUCUCUCAAAGAUCAAACUUUUGGAAAAAAAAUUUUUAAGUUUUCCUUAAAAACUACAACACUCUGAGAUGAUUAUGAAAAAUCUCAGAAUACUUUUAGAAUACUUGGGUGUUUAUUUGAGCAUUUUUGGAGUAAUGUUUUGAUUAAAGCACUAAAGUGACUCGUGU